CUCCGGGUGCGUUUGUUUUCUUACACUGGACGUGCCUGCAGCCUGUGUGUUGCUACAUGCUGUAUCUGUUCUUCCUGAGACCCAGUUCGUGAUUAACCAACCGACUGGAGCAGCAGAACUCUGACUAAAGCAGCUAUGUCUUUGCCAUCUAUAAGCUCAGAUCUAGGCUGGGCUGAAUUCACCAAUAUUUACUAAAUGUGUUGCGAGAGCCUCCAGGAGGUGACUACUUGCACAUGUUCUGAACUCCACAUGCUCAUGGUGCAGAGGUGAAUCGACUGCGUCUGGACAUACAUCCAGCUUUGAACACAGUUCAUUCUCUCUUCCUGAAGAUUUUGUCUCUGGUGAGUUGAUGAAAACUUUUUUGCCACUGUGCGGCGUUAGCUGACUGCUCUGUACCACAAUAUGAUAUUUUGUAGCCAGUGUUAACUAGUUGGUUGUAUUUAACUGCAGCUAGCCUGUUACCAUGACAGGUUUAAACAGGACUAUUUCAGUUUGUUUGAUUCAGAUUUAAAAUAUCCAGCACAGUUUAAAUUUUGAAAGUUGACAAUUUCAUAAGCUUAGUAGUGUUUACCAAACUGUCUCAACUAGAAAACAUGUUUAGCUUUUGUUGUAUGAGAUUGAUGUGAUUAAUUUAGUUCAAGU